rnacentral:lncRNA from 1 species
GUGUCAUCCCGAAGCAACCGGGCUCUUUUCUAUGUCUUAGAAUAACAUAUAAUUUCAUUUCUUGCAUGUUGCAUUGUAGGAUUGCAUGUUUAACCUUCUCCUUAUGCUUUCUAAAUGGUAACCUAGUGUGCAUAGAAUGCUAGGUGAAUAGGAUAGGUGAGGAUUGGGUUGGGACAGUUGAUCCUAUAGUGCUAAAGAAAAGAGGUGAACUUGAUGGUUAUCUAGUGACUUAAAGAGUGGCAUCUAAAUGUCUAAAGAACAAACGAGUGGCAUUAAUGUAGUGUACUUGACACUAGAGGUUUGAGAACCUAGGGAUAGGUGAAUCCCUUAGAAAAUGUCUUAUGGACAAGAACUUAGUAAAGCUAAGUAUCCUCACAAGGAGAGGAUGUAAAUGAGUUUCAAUUGAG